CACGUAGGGUGCAAGCGUUGUCCGGAAUUAUUGGGCGUAAAGGGCUCGUAGGCGGUCCGUCACGUCGGGAGUGAAAACUCGGGGCUCAACCCCGAGCCUGCUUCCGAUACGGGCGGACUAGAGGUAGGUAGGGGAGAACGGAAUUCCUGGUGUAGCGGUGGAAUGCGCAGAUAUCAGGAGGAACACCGGUGGCGAAGGCGGUUCUCUGGGCCUUACCUGACACUGAGGAGCGAAAGCGUGGGGAGCGAACAGG
rnacentral:rRNA from 1 species